UUCAGCAGAGACAUCUUGAUCAAAUUGUGUUCCUCAUAUCAUUAUGAUACAAUUUGAAUAACAUAUCGAAUACUCGAUUAAUUAAUCAUGAGGAAAAAGAUGGGCCUUGGCCUAUCUUACCAAUGAUGUUAGGUGUUAGGCCCAGCAUUAGCCCAGACCCAUAUCGAUAUCUCUCACAUUGUACAAACCCAUCUCUUCUUCCCUUUCAUUUCUUCCUCGCCCCUCUCUGUCUCUCGAUUCCACCACUCCUAAUUACCAAACCCAUCUGAUCUACUUGCAGCUCAUCACCAGUUCCUAAAGGUAGAUAUAGCAUCACGUUGCGUUAAACUGCACCGUUUAUUGUGAAAGCUUAAAGCCUGACGCGUCUCCCCCCCCACCCCAAAUUAAGUUCAGCCGUCAGCGGGCUUUUUCCAUUUUUCUGUACAAAGCCGAGGACCAAAGAAGG